AUGUCUGUCUCUUUCAACCUUUCUCUUUCUCCCCCUGUCCCCUCUGCCUCUCUCUCCCUCUCUGUUUUUCCUCUUUCUCUGUCCUUCCUUCUCUCUCCCUCUUCUUCCUCCUUUCCUCCCUCCCUCCAUACCCCUGCUUCUCCCUCUGUCUCUUUAUCUCUGUCACUUCCCCCUCCUCUCUCUCUCCCCUCUUCUCUCUCUGUGUCUCUGCCUUACUCCCUAUUCCUGUCUCCCUACCCUUUCCCUCUCUAUAUCUGUGUCUCUUACCCUGCCUCUCCAUCUUUCUCUGUCUCUCUUUAUCUCUGUCUCUCUUUCUUUCUCUGUCUCACCCACCUCUUUUCCUUUCUGUCUCUCUACUUCUAUCUCUGUCUCUCUCUCUCUCAUUCUCCCCUAUACUCUCCCUCCUCUCUCUCUCUCUCUUUCCCUCUUAUCCCUCUUCCUCACCCUCUUUCCCUCUUUCUCUUGCCUCUCCUCUGUCUUUCCCUCUCUGCUCCAUCUCUCUCUGUCUCCUAUCUCCUCCUUCUUUUCCUCCCUCCCCCCUUCUCUAUCCCCAUGCCUCUCCCUCCUAUCUGUCUCCCUCUCUCUUUUUCUCUCUCAUCCUUCCCCCUCUCUCCCCCUCCUCCCCCCCCCCUCUCUCCUCUCCAUCUCACUCCCUAUCCCUGUCUCUGUGUCUCUUUCCCUCUCCCUGCCUCUGCCUCUCUCUCUUCCUCCCUCUCCUCUGUCUGUCUCCCUGCCUCUCUCUGCUCUCUCCCUCUAAUUCUCCCUUUUCUUUCUCUCUGUCCCUGUCUCUCCAUCUUACUCUUCUUUCCCCUUUCCCACUUCUUUAUGUCCUCCCCUCUCUCUCACCUCUUUCUUCUCUCUUCAUUUCUUGCUCCCUACACUCUCUCCCUUCCCUCCUCUCUGCCUCCUGCCUCUCUUCCUCCCUUUCCUUCCUGUCUCUCUCUCCCUCUCUCCCUUUUUUCUCUCUCUAAUCCUCCCCGCUCUCUCCCCUUCUCUUCCCUCUUCUUCCCCCAUCUCUCUCUUUUCCUCUCUAUCUCUUCUACUUCCUCCCCCCUUCACGCUUGCUUUCUCUUCCUCUCCCCUCUCCUCUUUUUCCCUUUCUCCCUCCCUCUUCUGUCUUUGUCUUUCCCUCUUAUCCUUCCCCUUCACUCCCCCUCCUCUCUCUCUGUCUCUCUCUUCCCCCUCCUCUGUCUCUGCUUGUCUCUGUCUCUCCCUCCUCUUCUCUCUGUCUCUGCCUCUCUCCCUGUCCCUCAGUCUCUGUCUCCCUCUUCCUUUCUCUCUGUAUCUGUCUCUUUUGCCCCUCCUCUCUCUCUUUCUCUGUCUCUUUAUAUGUCUCUGUUUCUCUCUGUGUGUCUCUUUAACUCUCUCUCCCUCUUUCCCUCUGUCUCUUACCCCUCCUCCCUUUCCCUCUUUGUCUCCUCAUCUCCUUCUCCUUAUCCCUCUCAAACCCCAUUUCUAUACCCUGCUUCUCCCUCCCCUCUGUCUCUCUCAUCCUUUCCCCUCUCUCUGUCUCUCUCUCCCCAAUCCUCUCUUUUCCUCUCUCUCCAAACUGAAUCUCCAUCUCUGUCUCUGUAUCUCCGUCUCACUCUCCUUCCACCUAUGUUUCCCUCUCUCUGUCUUUCUCUUUCUCCCCCUUCUCUCUCUGCCUCUCCCUCCCUUUCUCUUUUUCUCUCUGUCCUUCUCUCUCUCUCUCUCUCUCUCUCUCUCUCUCUCUCUCUCUCUCUCUCUCUCUCUCUCUCUCUCUCUCUCUCUCUCUCUCUCUCUCUCUCUCUCUCCUUCCCUCACCUAUACCCCUGCCUCUCCCUCUGUUUCUUUAUCUGUCUCUCUCUUUCCCUUUGUCUCUGCUUGUCUCUGUCUCUCUCUCUCUCCCCCUCCUCCCCGUCUGUUUCUUCCUCCCUCUUCCUCUUCUCUCUGUCUCUCUUGCCUCUCCUCUCUGUUUUUCGGUUUCUUUCUCUCUGUCUCUGUUUCUCUUUCUCUGUCUCUCCCUCUUCUCUCUCCCCCUCCUCUUUUCCUGUCUCUCCUUCCCUCUCUACUUCGAUCUCUGUCUCUCUCUUUGUCUCCCUUUCACUCAUUUCACUCCCUAAUCUCUCUCUCCCCUACACUCUCCCUCCUCUCUUUGUUUUGCUCUUUCUCUGUCCUCUGUCUCUGUCUCUAUCCAUAUCUCUCUCUCUCUCUCUCUCUCUCUCUCCUCUGCUCUCUCCCCCUCCUUCUCCCUUUUCUCUUUUUCUCUGUCCCUGUCUCUCCAUCUCACUCUUCUUUCCCCUUUCCCCCACUUCUUUAUGUCUUCCCCUCUCACCUCUUUCUUCUCUUUAUUUCUUGCUCCCUACACUCUCUCCUUUCCCUCCUCUCUCUGCCUCCUGCCUCUCUUUCUUCCUUUCCUCCCUGCUCUUUCCCCUUCUCCUCCUUCUCCCUCCCCCCAAUCUCUCUUUUCCUCUCUGUCUCUUCCACUUCCCCCCUUUCUCCUACCGCUUGCUUUCUCUUCCUCUCCCCUCUCCUCUUUCCCUUCCUCUCCCCUCUCCUCUUUCCCUUCCUCUCUCUCUUUCUGUAUCUGUCUCUCCCUCUUGUCCUUCCCCCAUUCCCCCUCCUCUCUCUCCAUCCCUCUCUCUCUUUCCCUCUGUCUCUCUCUUCCUCCUCUUCUCUCUCUGUGUCUGUCUCACUCCCUAUCCCUCAGUCUCUGUCUCUCUCUCCCUCUCCUCCCUGUCUCUUCCUCUUCUCUCUCUGUAUCUGUCUCUCUUUCUCCCCCUCCUCUCUUUUCCUCUGUUUCUUUCCCUCUCUACUUCUGUUUCUGUCUCUCCUGUCUCUCACUUCACUCCUUAA
rnacentral:lncRNA from 1 species